GGCUCAGGAGAACGCUGGCGGCGUGCUCAACACAUGCAAGUCAAACGAACCUUCGGGUUAGUGGCGGACGGGUGAGUAACGCGUGUGCCUCUGCCCUCAGGAGGGGGAUAACGGUUGGAAACGACCGCUAAUACCCCAUAUGCCGAGAGGUGAAAAGAAAUUCGCCUGAGGAUGAGCUCGCGUCUGAUUAGCUAGUUGGUGUGGUAAUGGCGCACCAAGGCUUCGAUCAGUAGCUGGUCUGAGAGGAUGAUCAGCCACACUGGGACUGAGACACGGCCCAGACUCCUACGGGAGGCAGCAGUGGG
rnacentral:rRNA from 1 species